rnacentral:misc_RNA from 1 species
AAUGAGGAGAGAAGAUCCAGGCAAGAAAGAUCAAGCACUCGCAUUGAUCGUGCUGUUGACACACCUGAUAACCAAAGGGUGCAUGAGAAAAAGCAUAAAGAUAACAUGAGAAAGCAUAAAGAAUUUGAGGGGGGUGAUCACAACUCUUGGGGCCCUUCUAGAAGAAAUCAAGGGGAUCAGAGUGGUCACACUGAUGAGAUGGUAUGUUCCAUAUUCAAAACAAUAGCAUGAACUCCUAAUGGGAAGGAUGUCCUCCCUCAUAAGUUAGAGUAAUUGACAAAUGACCUGACACAAUAAAAAUUGAGUUCUCAAGCUGAAAUUGUUACUUUUUUGAACCCC